rnacentral:tRNA from 1 species
CAGAGUAUAGUUUAAAGAAUAUCCGCUUUGGGGGCGAAAGGAGGAACUCUGA